UAUGCAUGCGGUCGAACGCGUUGGCCCAAUUGAUUGAUGGUGCUUGCACCUGAUUGAUUUUGGUCGCCAACGAGUGGCGGACGGGUGAGUAACACGUAGGUAACCUGCCCAGAAGCGGGGGACAACAUUUGGAAACAGAUGCUAAUACCGCAUAACAACGUUGUUCGCAUGAACAACGCUUAAAAGAUGGCUUCUCGCUAUCACUUCUGGAUGGACCUGCGGUGCAUUAGCUUGUUGGUGGGGUAACGGCCUACCAAGGCGAUGAUGCAUAGCCGAGUUGAGAGACUGAUCGGCCACAAUGGGACUGAGACACGGCCCAUACUCCUACGGGAGGCAGCAGUAGGGAAUCUUCCACAAUGGGCGCAAGCCUGAUGGAGCAACACCGCGUGAGUGAAGAAGGGUUUCGGCUCGUAAAGCUCUGUUGUUAAAGAAGAACACGUAUGAGAGUAACUGUUCAUACGUUGACGGUAUUUAACCAGAAAGUCACGGCUAACUACGUGCCAGCAGCCGCGGUAAUACGUAGGUGGCAAGCGUUAUCCGGAUUUAUUGGGCGUAAAGAGAGUGCAGGCGGUUUUCUAAGUCUGAUGUGAAAGCCUUCGGCUUAACCGGAGAAGUGCAUCGGAAACUGGAUAACUUGAGUGCAGAAGAGGGUAGUGGAACUCCAUGUGUAGCGGUGGAAUGCGUAGAUAUAUGGAAGAACACCAGUGGCGAAAGGCGGCUACCUGGUCUGCAACUGACGCUGAGACUCGAAAGCAUGGGUAGCGAACAGGAUUAGAUACCCUGGUAGUCCAUGCCCGUAAACGAUGAGUGCUAGGUGUUGGAAGGUUUUCCGCUCCUUCAGUGCCGGAGCUAACGCAUAAAGCACCUCCGGCCUUGGGGAAGUUACGAACCCGCCAAGGUUGGAA
rnacentral:rRNA from 2 species